CAGCCUUUGUGUCUUACUUUGAAAUUUCGAUAUUUUGAGCUAUACAACUCCAAAUUGGGCGAUUCAAAAGGCUAAGUUGUGAGAUUUUUCGAGGGCAACGCAUUGGUGAGCUUGGAAUCUGAUAUGGCGACCCGAUUUGAGGUAAAUUUUGGGUUUUAACUGCUGUCAUAGCUCAUUUUCGAGCACAAGUUUUGGGAAAUUUUAGAAGGUGAUUUCUUGGCCAUUUUAGGUCCGAAUCAAGUGAUUCAAGAGCCUAUAUUGUGGGGUUUUUCGUGAGGAUCGUCGUGGUGUGAUUGGUUUUGGCUGUUGGAGCUUCAUUUUUGGUAAAAUCUUUGUAUCAACGUUUCGAGGCCUUUUAGAAAGUAAAAGAUCCGGGGAGUGAAUUUUGGAGCGCGCGUGAUCUGCGUUCAGGUCCGAGCACCAGUAGUCAGCGUUGAUCGAGUUUGGAGAAUUUCUGGUCUGGAGACAGGGGUGAGCACACAGGGUUUUGUACUAUUUCAGUCUCCAUCUGUUUAUAUAAAGACUUGUCUUUUACUUUUCGAGACAGUCUAGUUUCGGUGGUCCACUGUUGGGACUUGUACUCGUUUUGUUGGUAGCUCUGUAUUAGUGACUUCCAGGUUC